AAGUCUCCUCUGUAGCCCCUAAGGUCGGGCUGAGAAUCGAGGCUCCGAGACGGUCAGCUACUUGCUCAAGGUCACACAGCAAGUCUGGGAGGAGUUGGGGUGGAAUACGCAAAAUGUAGGCCCGGGAAACACCUCGUUUCCAGCAUUCCUGGAACGACUCUGCGCGGGAACCGGGAGCCGGGAACCCGGAGCUUGGCUUGCUGUGCCCAGAGCUCCGGGGCCUCGGGCGGGUGGCAGGAAAGCCUGGCGGCAGCUUCUGCAGAAAAACUGGAGCGCAGACGGGGAGCGCGGAGCAGAAACACGCCCCCGGCCACCCUUGGCCGACUCCGCGCGCCCGGGAUCCUGCAGAGGUGGCACAGGAGACGUGGCAAAAGCCUAGAAGUUCAACGCAUGGCUCCCUCCCCAGUCGCAGCCUGGAGUUUCUAACUUUGGCAGAAGUCUUCCGUUUCUGCUCCCCACUCCAAAGAAAAAAUAAAUAAA